rnacentral:rRNA from 1 species
UACGUAGGCAGCAAGCGUUGUUCGGAGUUACUGGGCGUAAAGAGUGCGUAGGUGGUGCUCUAAGUCUGUUGUGAAAUCUCCCGGCUUAACUGGGAGGGUGCGGUGGAAACUGGGGUGCUUGAGUGUGGGAGAGGUAAGCGGAAUUCCUGGUGUAGCGGUGAAAUGCGUAGAUAUCAGGAGGAACACCGGUGGUGUAGACAGCUUACUGGACCACGACUGACACUGAGGCACGAAAGCGUGGGUAGCAAACAGG